UCAAAUUAACAUAUUUGGAGAAAAUAACUGAGAUGAGCACCAUGUAGUUGUGCACGAUUGUUGUGCCCGCAAGUUUUCCUUUAAAGUCUGAACUGCAAUAGGGUCCACAUAGACUAAAAAUUUUGCACAAUGCACCAGACUAUUAAAAAUUAGAAAAUGAAUUUUUUUUUUAAAAAAAGAACAAAUAACUUGUACUUGGAUUAUGUUCACAGUAAUUCAUUUGAAG
rnacentral:misc_RNA from 1 species